AUAAGAACAAAGCCAAUGAAGAGGUUUUCCACUUGUUUUCCAAGUUAGAAAACAAAACGUUGAAUUCAACUUCGAAGUUAGAGGUUUGAUUAUCUCAUUUUUUAUGUUGUCGAAAAAAAAUAUGUUAAAUUUUCCUAUCUAUCACGAUAGGUAGUGAAAUUGUUAUCUAUUUGUAAAUAUCUUCAACAGUUUUGUUAUUUAAAAUAAUUCCUCAUUUUAGUUUUAUACUUUAAAUUUUAUUCAAUUUUAGUCCUUAAUACGCUAAAUAUUUUGAUCUUAGUUUAUUUACUUUCGAUGAAUCUUUAAUUUAGCCCGUCAAACUUACUUUUUACUAAAAUUAGUUGAAUAUACUAAUAAUUUUCAUGCAAGUAAAUACAAUACAAGAAUAUGUCCUCGAUAUUUAUAGUAAAAAUGCUAAUAAAUAACAACCUAUUUUUGAAAAAGAUCAACAAUAAAUUAGUGGCAAAAAUUAAAUUUAAGAAUUUUUAAAAAGUUAUUUUAAAAAAUAAUAAAAUAUUGAAACUAUUUGUAAAAUAUAGCAAAAUUUAUGAUCUCUAUCGUCUAUUUAAGAUUUUUCUUUACUAUAUUUUGUAUAUAGCUUGAUUUCUUACCUAAUCUAAAUUAAAAAAUUAUUAUUGAAUAAUUAUAAUAUAAAAAAUAUAAUAAUUAAAUUUGUAUUUCAAUCCAAAAUAAUAAUUAAUAAAUAAUAGGUGGGGCAUUUUGCAAAAACGUUUCCGAGAUUUCUCCGUCGCCAACGAAACCGGCGAAGCGCUGAGAAGACAACCCACCAUGAUCGACGUUGAAAUCGAGUAUAAGGAAGAACUCGAACAACUCCGUAAACGCCCCGCCGCCGCCUUCAUCAACUCCUCUCUCCUCCAUAACCUCAAUCGGAACAAAGACCCGGCCUCCAAAGCUCAGCGACUCGGUAUUUCCUCUCGAACUCAUCCAUUUCAUAUACUUCUCUGAUCCCCGAUUAGUUGGCCUAGUGAAUGGGAACGAUAGGGUAUUAGUCCGGUUCUGAUCGUCCGCGUUUGUGGAAAAUUCGAGGAAGGCUACAGCAAAUUCUGCUUCGACCGAUGAAGCUGCCUUUCUAAAGAGUGUGGAAGAUUUUGUGGCGCACUCUGGUUUUCUUCAAGUUUCUAUGGGCGAGAGGAAUGGAAGAAGUUUCUGACUCUUUCUCUACUUAUAAUUCACGUGCAGGUGUUUAUUCCAUUCAUCAAUGAAAUGUUGUAUGAUUUAAGAAAAGUUUAUAAGCCAAUAAGACAAAUUAUGAAUGUGUAUGCCAAAGGGAUCAGUAGGAUCGAAAAGCAUGAUUUAUUAUUGAAAUAAAACGUUGUUGUUAUUUGACUAAGAUCUUGAGCGAAAUAUAUUGAGAAUUGGAUUGAGUA